rnacentral:rRNA from 1 species
UACGUAGGGUGCAAGCGUUAAUCGGAAUUACUGGGCGUAAAGCGUGCGUAGGCGGUUCGUUAAGUGCGUCGUGAAAGCCCCGGGCUCAACCUGGGAAUGGCGAUGGAAACUGGCGGGCUGGAGUAUGGCAGAGGGGGGUGGAAUUCCGCGUGUAGCAGUGAAAUGCGUAGAGAUGCGGAGGAACACCGAUGGCGAAGGCAGCCCCCUGGGCCAAUACUGACGCUCAGGCACGAAAGCGUGGGGAGCAAACAGG